rnacentral:rRNA from 1 species
UACGGUGGGGGCAAGCGUUGUUCGGAAUUACUGGGCGUAAAGGGCUCGUAGGCGGCCAACUAAGUCCGACGUGAAAUCCCAAGGCUUAACCUUGGAACUGCGUCGGAUACUGGAUGGCUUGAAUUCGGGAGAGGGAUGCAGAAUUCCAGGUGUAGCGGUGAAAUGCGUAGAUAUCUGGAGGAAUACCGGUGGCGAAGGCGGCAUCCUGGACCGACAUUGACGCUGAGGCGCGAAAGCCAGGGGAGCAAACGGG